UAUUAGUUCGGAUCGGAAAUUUCUACCAUGCUUUUCAAUGAGUUCGAAACGUAAAAUUUGAGACAUUUUGAAAAAAUAUUUCGGACAAAAAUCAAAAUUUCCCUCACACCCAUUCGUCAAUGAUUAAUUUCGUCCACAAGGAAUAUUUUCGGCACAAAAUCAGUACUUCGCCACUGAUUAGAAGAAAUCAACAACCUUCGUUGCCUAGAAACCGCCUCUGAUGACGCGCGUUUCCGGAAACACGUAAACCUGAUCGACCAAUCGCUUGUCGACCCUUUGAAUACAACACAUGUACCAUGGCAACGGGUAAAAACAAACACAUCAACUUUGAAAUUCGUUGUCAAUAAAGCAGUAUUUAUUGCAAUUGAAGUUUUAAAUUAACCUAUUUUUACACGUUCGUUUUGGAAAAAGUGUCUUAUUUGUUAAAAUUGCGUGUCGAAGGAUUGAAGGACGCGAAAAUGUGACUUUAAACUAGAAAAUUCGCGAUUGUAAAGGAAAUGUUGGCGAUUUUUGCGACUUAAAUCGUUGGCAGGAUUUUAGUGUGGAAAGUUUUCAAAUUGAGACCCGCUGUAUUGGAAAACAAGAGCAUUCUACAGGGCGGCCAAGGUCUUUCACUUAAGACACAGAUGGAAUUUUGGAAAUUUUUACAGAAAUGUAGCGAUUGAAAAAUCUGAAAAGUUACAUAAGUUUUUUGCUUGCCCAAGGGGCCUGUCCGUCCACAAAACAGAUAGUCUCAGUGGCCUCGUUUUGGCUGUACGCAUACGAUUGCUAAAAAUAAAAUCUCAACUCGACUAAAACCGGCAAUUGUUAUGUCAUUGCUGAGUUCCUUGUCUGAAUCAAGAUUAAGAACAUGCAAGGCUACAAUUGUCUACCAAUAUUACCGAUAGAUUGUGGAUCAAUCCGGCUUUAAUUGGCUGUUCAUUCAACUCGAUUAGUGAUCAUUUAAUUGUCGAUGACUAAGAACGGGGACAACACUCUGUAUAGAUGGCCAUGCUAUAGAAUCAGAUUUAUUUUCCACCUGCAACCGCAGCGAUUUUGAAACAAACCAGGCAUUUUUAUGGGCGCUAUUUCGCAUGAACUAACAGGGCCAUUAGCCAGAACUAGACCAGUCUGCUGAUCAAUGGCGACAAAAAUUCA